ACAUUGGGACGAUUCAGCUUCCUCUCUCAGUACUCUCUCUCGCGAAUAACAUCCAACGGCGGCCGGAAAUCGCCUUCGGCGGAAACCUUCCCUAAACCUCAAGUCGAACCCACAAUCAUCUCCGCCUUCUUACCCUAUCUUCGUUUUUUACUUCAGUUCUUCUAGAGACUCAUUCUCUCUCUCGAAUCUGAGCAAAUAACAAACCCUAGAUCUAAAUAGAAAUCAAAUUAAACGCUAACAAUCGCGAAUCAUGAAGCGAGGCCAUGGGGGAAGAGUUCGGGGAGCCUCAGACUACACUAUAGUGAAGAGCAAACGCGAAGAGGAUGAAGAGGCAGAGAAGAGUGUACUCACCUGGAUUUGAAGAACGUCUGUGAGAUGAAGAGAACACAGGGUGAUUCUGAGAGCUCCAAAAUGCGAAAUAAAUACAAGGCAAAUUGAACAAUCUUUCCCGGUUGUAGUGAGAGUCGAAGAUUGAUGAGGGUGAAACGAUGGUGUAUGGAAGCAUAGUGAUGAAGAGAUGGCAAAGAUUGAAGGGAAUGGCUCUGUAAAGUGGUUGCAGAGGUGAAAGUUGAAGUGAUGAUGAAUGAGAGAGGAAGAUGAUGAACUAGAAGAAUGACUGAAGAUGGAGGAUGAGUUAUAUAGAGGUUUCUCAAGGGCUGGUAGUAAAUAUAUGGUGCAGCAGGGUCACGAAAAAGAACUUCGAAGGAAGAGUCACGAAGAACUCGGAAACGGAUCGACUUAGAAAUAGGUUUAGGGACAGUUAUUGAUUGUUUGAACAGUUGGUUAAGAUGCUGGAAAUUAUUUACAGAACUGUUAUGUUAGUAAACAAUUAAGGGAGGUUAGUUGAGAAUAAUAUGGACUUUUGAAUGCACUGAAUGGAAUUGUCUUGGCUGGAAAUUUAUGGUGAAUGUGUGUGUUUAUAUUUCUUCUUUGUAUGCACUGGAUUGAUACAGGGUCUAGUGUAAUGUGUAAUGAUGGAUUUGUAAUAAGCGAUGAUGA